rnacentral:rRNA from 1 species
UACGUAGGGGGCAAGCGUUUGUCCGGAUUUAUUGGGCGUAAAGAGCGUGUAGGCGGCUUUACAGGUCCGUUGUGAAAACUCGAGGCUCAACCUCGAGACGCCGGCGGAAACCCCCCAAGCUAGAGUCCGGAAGAGGAGAGUGGAAUUCCUGGUGUAGCGGUGAAAUGCGCAGAUAUCAGGAAGAACACCCGUGGCGAAGGCGGCUCUCUGGGACGGUACUGACGCUGAGACGCGAAAGCGUGGGGAGCGAACAGG